CAUCCGUUCAUCCGCAUCUCAUCUAAUCUCCUCGCUCCACCACCUGCACUCGCGUCCCUACGACUCUGCGAGCCCGUCCCCGCGCGCUAAUCGCUCCCUCCUCCCAUCCCCGCGCGCUAAUCGCUCUGCCCCCACGCUAUUAUGCGCAGCGCGCCUCCUCAAUCCGCUAAUCGCUCUCUCCUCCCGUCCGCACGCGCUAAUCGCUCUGCCCCCGCACUACUCCUCGCGGCGCGCCUCCUCGCUCUGCGCCUCAUCUCUUGUUCCCGCGGCCGCUGCCGCCGCCGCAGCAUUCCACCACGGCCUGCCCCCGCCGGCGCCGUGUUGGUUCCCGCACGGGAAACCGGUGCCGACAGCCAUCGUCGCCGCGUCAAUCAAGGAAUUAUGGAAGGUUCGAUCUGAUGAUUCUGGACGCGCUUAAGGUCAAAGUAACUCAGUUUCGCUGAAGCUAUGUUGGUUUGCAUCAUUGCAUUGAAAGGCGCAUGUUCUGCUUCUGUUGGUGCUUGAUAUAAUGGCUUUAAAAUUAAGGGAGCUUUGUUCAUUUCCCUCUUGUUGUGCUAUUGAUCGCAUUUUAGUGGACAAAAGUAAGGAUAUAGGUAUGAUUUCUUCUGCCUAGCUGCCUGUCAGUCCACGAGGAGUUUCAUAUGCUUUAUUCCUGCAUGUUGGACUUGUUGCAUCUCCUGCUUCCUUUACUUGGAAACAUGCAUGCUUGAUUCUCUAUAAACACAUAGGGUGGAUCAGUACAAAGCUAACAUAUAUUUAAACUGCAAUUUAGGGGGAUAGAGACUACCAAGGGAUGUAUUAUUUGCCGGGGUUUCAAAAUUCGUGUAAUACUGCUAGCACCUGUAAUAUUUGAUGGCAGUUUGAUGGUUUCUCUACAAUUAGAAAAUAGAAGUUCUCUAAGCAGCUGCCAUUAGAAGGAGAUAAGUUUUUGAACUCAUGAUGCAUACUUAACUUUGUCCCAGAUUUUCUUUUUGAAGUUGUGUAUAAGCACUAAUACUGAGAUGUGCACCUCUGCAUCAGCAUACCAGAGACAUAAGUGAAAUCAUGGAGUCACAAGGUAUUUUGAAAUAUUUGAUUGAGAAGACAUGCUUGAGCAUGAUAAGGUUUAUCUCUAUUUUCCCCCCAAAUGUUGCAUUAUAUCCUCAAAGACAACGGUGUUAUACAUGCAAAUAUUGAUGAUGGUAUUAAUUAAUCAUGGCUUGCAUUUGACAAACAUGAGGCUAAAAACAUGAUGGUAUUAGCAGAUCUUUUGGUCUCAACAAUGGUCAUGAUGUAUAUGACAUUCAUCGUCCGUACAGGCAAGGCAUUAUUACUUUUAUUAGCCUACACUGCGACACUGGAUGUGGUUCAAAUAAACAUUGGUCAUGCUUUUCUUUCACGGAAAAAGUGGCUGUGCAGCAGGAGAUUCACACACCAGUGUCUGACUGGUCUUGCAUUCAUGCUUACAAUUUGAUUUUGAUGGAAAAUUAAAUUUUGCAUUGACCAUUUAUCCAGAUUAUUGUUUCUUGCGGGCCUAGCGAAUAGAUCAUGGAAUUGAGCAAGCUGAAUGAUCCUUCCAUGUGGGAUGAGAAGAGGAUGAAAGUGAAGCUUGGUCUUAGAAGAUGAUUCAGUAGUAGACAACUGUUUAUGACUGAUGAAAGGAAAUUUGUGAUUCACUUAUUUAAACCAAAGAGGCAAAGACGCCAUCAGAAUUCUGUCAUCUGCUCACCAUUAAGAUGGCUUGAUGUUAUCAUGCUCUGAAUCCAAGCAACAUUUUUUUCAGGAUGUGUACAAGUUGAACAGAGAUCAAGUUCUACAUAAUGUUCAGGUCAUAAUUAUUUAUGUAAUAAAUAAUUCAGUCCUACUUCUGUAGCUUGGUUUGGUGCUUCAAAACAAUAUGUUUUACACUGUGUCGCGGCGUUAAUUUGAAUAAAAAUGCAAAAUAUGUUUUGCAUUUUAAUUGCUA